rnacentral:rRNA from 1 species
GACGAACGCUGGCGGCGUGCUUAACACAUGCAAGUCGAACGGAAGGGCCCUGCUUUUGUGGGGUGCUCGAGUGGCGAACGGGUGAGUAACACGUGAGUAACCUGCCCUUGACUUUGGGAUAACUUCAGGAAACUGGGGCUAAUACCGGAUAGGAGCUCCUGCUGCAUGGUGGGGGUUGGAAAGUUUCGGCGGUUGGGGAUGGACUCGCGGCUUAUCAGCUUGUUGGUGGGGUAGUGGCUUACCAAGGCUUUGACGGGUAGCCGGCCUGAGAGGGUGACCGGCCACAUUGGGACUGAGAUACGGCCCAGACUCCUACGGGAGGCAGCAGUGGGGAAUAUUGCACAAUGGGCGGAAGCCGGAGGCAGCAACGCCGCGUGCGGGAGGACGGCCUUCGGGUGGUAAACCGCUUUCGCCUGUGACGAAGCGUGAGUGACGGUAAUGGGUAAAGAAGCACCGGCUAACUACGU